AAAGUUUGAUCCUGGCUCAAGAUGAACGCUGGCGGCGUGCCUAACACAUGCAAGUCGAACGGAGUUCUUAAGGAAUGCGACUUCGGUCAAAUGACUUUUGAACUUAGUGGCGGACGGGUGAUUAACGCUUGAGCAACCUGCCUUUCAGAGGGGGAUAACAUUUGGAAACAGAUGCUUAAUACCGCAUAAGAUUACAGUACCGCAUGAUACAGUGAUCAAAGGAGCAAUCCGCUGAAAGAUGGGCUCGCGUCCGAUUAGAUAGUUGGUGAGGUAACGGCUCACCAAGUCGACGAUCGGUAGCCGGACUGAGAGGUUGAACGGCCACAUUGGGACUGAGACACGGCCCAGACUCCUACGGGAGGCAGCAGUGGGGAAUAUUGCACAAUGGGCGAAAGCCUGAUGCAGCAACGCCGCGUGAGGGAAGACGGUUUUCGGAUUGUAAACCUCUGUUUUCGGUGACGAACAAAUGACGGUAACCGAGUAGGAAGCCACGGCUAACUACGUGCCAGCAGCCGCGGUAAUACGUAGGUGGCAAGCGUUAUCCGGAAUUACUGGGUGUAAAGGGAGCGCAGGCGGGAUAGCAAGUCAGCUGUGAAAACUAUGGGCUCAACCCAUAAACUGCAGUUGAAACUGUUAUUCUUGAGUGGAGUAGAGGCAAGCGGAAUUCCGAGUGUAGCGGUGAAAUGCGUAGAUAUUCGGAGGAACACCAGUGGCGAAGGCGGCUUGCUGGGCUCUAACUGACGCUGAGGCUCGAAAGUGUGGGGAGCAAACAGGAUUAGAUACCCUGGUAGUCCGCACUGUAAACGA
rnacentral:rRNA from 1 species